UACGUAGGGGGCGAGCGUUAUCCCGAUUUACUGGGCGUAAAGGGCGCGUAGGCGGUCAGCACAAGUCAGUUGUGAAAUCUCCGGGUUUAACUCGGAAAGGUCAACUGAUACUGUGUGACUAGAGUGCAGAAGGGGCAACUGGAAUUCUCGGUGUAGCGGUGAAAUGCGUAGAUAUCGAGAGGAACACCUGCGGCGAAGGCGGGUUGCUGGGCUGACACUGACGCUGAUGCGCGAAAGCCAGGGGAGCGAACGGG
rnacentral:rRNA from 1 species